UCCCUGGUGGUCCAGUGGUUAAGACUCUGCCUUCCAAUGCAGAGGGCAUGGGUUCGAUCCCUGGUCAGGGAA
rfam:TPA: Bos taurus chromosome 28, whole genome shotgun sequence.